rnacentral:rRNA from 1 species
CCACGAAGUUGGAUUCGCUAGUAAUCGCGCAUCAGCCAUGGCGCGGUGAAUACGUUCCCGGGCCUUGUACACACCGCCCGUCAAGCCAUGGGAGCCGGGGGCGCCUGAAGUCCGGGACCGCGAGGACCGGCCUAAGGCGAAACUGGUGACUGGGGCUAAGUCGUAACAAGGUAUC